UUUUAGGGGGUUAUCUUUACCCUUCUUACAGAGACGAAGCAUAUGCAUAACACAUAGAAGAGCCUUGAAUGAUAGAAACUUUCUGCUAGAAUGGAUUGUUUGUGACAGAUUUAUAGCAACACGUCAUUUUAAAUGUUCUAUACCAAGGUUAAAAAUACCUUUCAACAACUGGAUGGAUAAUCAGUUUCUAAAAGCUGAAUAGAUUUAAGGACUUAAGUCCUCAGUCCUAUUAGUAAAAUAAUGUAUGUUUUACUGAGCAGCUGCCGUACUAGAUGGUACAGGGAUUUUUUUUUUUAAUUUCAGUCAAAGUCCUAUAGAUUAGAUUCAUAUUCUGCACAUCAUAUUUAACUCAACUUCUACAACUUCUGUUUCUCUAUCUAUCUGUUCACUUAUAUAUGGAAGAGACAGAAGAGAUAAUAGGGAGCCAGUUCAGGGAAUAGAUAAAAUUUUCAGAUUUCACACUCUUAUUUCAUGCCUCAUGGAAGAAAGCAAUGCAGAUGGAAAAAGGAAUAAGGGUUUAUAUUGAUUGAGCACUAAUGUUCAUCCUAGGUACAGAGCCUUUAUUUGCACUAUUUUCAUAUCUUCUCUACAAAUAAGCUAACAUGUAUUUCUCAUUUUACAGAUGAGGGACCAAACAACCUUAGCAAGCUCAUUGUUCUAGCAAAGGACAGGUUCAGUACUUAAGGUCUUUCACACUGAUGGUUCGUUUGUUGGUUUAAAGCUUGUUGGGGAAAAGGAAUUUGGCAAGGAUACUCCCCUGGCCCUUCCGUAUCUGGUGUACAGGAAUCUCCAAUCAGAGAUUGCCUUGAGUUGCCUGUUGGACCCUCUGAACCAUCUUUUGGAUAUUCCAGAUAUGAGCAAGUCAGGGCUUCUGAAAAUGCUCAUCAUCACUGAGGUCAACAGUACCUUAGGUUUUAAGGGGCUUAGCAAAGCACAUACUUUGCCAAUAAAGAUACAGGUUAGAAUGGAUUUUCUGUGGGGACCAGAGUAGUGGAACAUUUUAUAUUCUUUAAAAUACCCUAGCUUAAAAUUUUGAGUUACUGCAUAAUAAAGUAGCUUAUUAAAACAAUUAAGAGGAUUAAAGCAGACCAUUUUAUAGAUCUAUUACUUCUUAGUCCCUGAAAUGAACUUAAUGUUAUUUCCAUAAUCAUUUAUUAAACAUGUAUAUUCUUCACCAUAGUUGGCGCUAGAUGUUGAGGCUAUUAAUGCACAUGAAUUAUAUUUUAAUAAGCACAGAAUAUUUAAAGGAAAACUCAUCUUCCUAAUAUUUUUCUGUAAGGGACAUUAAUUUCUGUCCUUCUGUGUCAUAGUUAGGCGAAGCAUGGUGCUCUAAAUCUAGACAAUCCUGCCUCAUCUUGGGUCAGUACUCUGUGCAGUAUCAUUGCAAUUCCUGAUUUCACGAAGGGCAAAGAGCCAACUUGUAAACUAUCUUUCUCUGUUGUCUUUUAAGAGGUUAUUUGGCUGUUGGCAGCACAUUUGUGUCUUUGUCAAACAAACAAACAAACAAAAACCAGGCAUUAAAAGCAACAGAAAAAUACAGCUUCUUACUUUCUCAUUCAACCGUCUCCAUGAGAGUCCAGACAAGAGAUAAAAAAGACAGCAACAACUAACAUUUUAUUAAAAGUACUGCUACGUGAAGAUUUUUAUUCUUCCUUCUCUGUUGCAUUAGUAAUUUUAUCCAGUUAAAAUUUUGUGGUCUCCAUUUUCUAGAGUGAAACCAAAGUCAUCAUAUCACAAGACCCCUGAAAUCAGUGAACUUUCCCAGAAAGAAACAUUUCAUAUAACAACUUUUACAUUAAUAGGCGCAAAAAUACAUUUUGAUAAUAAAUAAAACAAAUUUGAAGUUGCACGAACAUAGUAAAAAGAUAAGUAAGCC
rnacentral:lncRNA from 1 species